UCUCCGUUAUCCGGAGCAGUCCUCGUAGAGUUCUCCCUUGCGGGUAGCAACUACGAGUAAGGGUUGCGCUCGUUGCGGGACUUAACCCAACACCUCACGGCACGAGCUGACGACAGCCAUGCAGCACCUCUACUCCACCCCCUUGCGGGGUAUCAGUAUUUCUACCGUUGGUCAGUAGCGGUUCAAGCCCAGGUAAGGUUCUUCGCGUUGCGUCGAAUUGAACCACAUGUUCCACCGCUUGUGCGGGCCCCCGUCAAUUCCUUUGAGUUUCAGUCUUGCGACCGUACUCCCCAGGCGCAGAACUUAACGCGUUAGCUACGGGACGACCCGCCUACGCGGGCCACCCCAAGUUCUGAUGGUUUAGGGCUAGGACUAC
rnacentral:misc_RNA from 1 species